rnacentral:rRNA from 1 species
AAAAGAAACUAACAAGGAUUCCCCUAGUAACUGCGAGUGAACCGGGAAAAGCUCAAAUUUAAAAUCUGGCAGUUUAUAAUUGUCCGAGUUGUAAUCUGGAGAAGUGUUUUCCGCGCUGGCCUGUAUACAAGUUUCCUGGAAUGGAACGUCAUAGAGGGUGAGAAUCCCGUCUUUGCUACAGACUCCCAGUGCUUUUGUGAUACGCUCUCAACGAGUCGAGUUGUUUGGGAAUGCAGCUCACAAUGGGUGGUAAAUUCCAUCUAAAGCUAAAUAUUGGCGAGAGACCGAUAGCGAACAAGUACCGUGAGGGAAAGAUGAAAAGAACUUUGGAAAGAGAGUUAAACAGUACGUGAAAUUGCUUAAAGGGAAACGCUUGAAGUCAGUCGCGUUGUCUGGGAUUCAGCCUUGCAUUUAUGCCUGGUGUAUUUCCUAGUUGACGGGUCAACAUCAGUUUCGACCGCUGGAAAAAGGUGUAAGAAAUGUGGCAUCAUUCGUGGUGUGUUAUAGUCUUGCAUUGUAUACAGCGAUUGGGACUGAGGAACUCAGUACGCCUUUAUGGUCGGGAUUCGUCCACGUAACGUACUUAGGAUGUUGGCAUAAUGGCUUUAAUCGACCCGUCUUGAAACACGGACCAAGGAGUCUAACAUGCUUGCGAGUAUUUGGGUGGAAAACCCGAGUGCGCAAUGAAAGUGAAAGUUGGGAUCUUUGUCAUGGAGAGCACCGACGCCCGGACCAGACGUUCUCUGACGGUUCCGCGGUAGAGCACGUAUGUUGGGACCCGAAAGAUGGUGAACUAUGCCUGAAUAGGGUGAAGCCAGAGGAAACUCUGGUGGAGGCUCGUAGCGAUUCUGACGUGCAAAUCGAUCGUCGAA